rnacentral:lncRNA from 1 species
AAUGAGCCACAUAUGCAACAAUGUCUUUCUUCAUUCUACGCCACCAAUAAUGCUGUCUCAAACCCCCGAUACAUCUUUGCGGUGCCCAGAUGAAUAGAAUACCGAGAACUGUGGGCCUCCCCUAAGAUCGACUCUCGAAUACCAUCAACAUUGGGCACACAAACUCGCCACUGCAACCUCAAUAUGCCAUCAUCUCCCAAAGUCAUCUCCUUGGCACCUCCCCUCUGCACCGU